rnacentral:rRNA from 1 species
GACGAACGCUGGCGGUGUGCUUAACACAUGCAAGCCGAACGUGAUUUUUGUGGAAAGCCCUUCGGGGACGGAAAUGAAAUGAAAGUGGCGAACGGGUGAGUAACACGUGAGCAACCUACCUUACACAGGGGGAUAGCCGUUGGAAACGACGAUUAAUACCGCAUGAGACCACAAAGCCACAUGGCUUAGGGGUAAAAGAUUUAUCGGUGUAAGAUGGGCUCGCGUCUGAUUAGCUAGUUGGAAGGGUAAAGGCCUACCAAGGCAACGAUCAGUAGCCGGUCUGAGAGGAUGAACGGCCACAUUGGAACUGAGACACGGUCCAAACUCCUACGGGAGGCAGCAGUGGGGAAUAUUGCACAAUGGGGGGAACCCUGAUGCAGCGACGCCGCGUGAGCGAAGAAGGUUUUCGAAUCGUAAAGCUCUGUCCUAUGAGAAGAUAAUGACGGUAUCAUAGGAGGAAGCCCCGGCUAAAUACGUGCCAGCAGCCGCGGUAAUACGUAUGGGGCGAGCGUUGUCCGGAAUUAUUGGGCGUAAAGGGUACGUAGGCGGCCUAUUAAGUCAGGUGUGAAAGCGUGAGGCUUAACCUCAUUAAGCACUUGAAACUGGAAGGCUUGAGUGAAGGAGAGGAAAGUGGAAUUCCUAGUGUAGCGGUGAAAUGCGUAGAUAUUAGGAGGAAUACCGGUGGCGAAGGCGACUUUCUGGACUUUUACUGACGCUCAGGUACGAAAGCGUGGGGAGCAAACAGG